GUAACAAGGUCUCCGUUGGUGAACCAGCGGAGGGAUCAUUACUGAGUUAUCUAAACUCCCAACCCUUUGUGAACCUUACCGUCGUUGCCUCGGCGGGCUGUGCCUACCCUGUAGCUACCCUGUAGCUACCCGGUAGGUACGCUGCAAGCCCGCCGGUGGACCACCAAACUCUGUUUUAAUACUGAAUCUCUGAAUGCUUCAACUUAAUAAGUUAAAACUUUCAACAACGGAUCUCUUGGUUCUGGCAUCGAUGAAGAACGCAGCGAAAUGCGAUAAGUAAUGUGAAUUGCAGAAUUCAGUGAAUCAUCGAAUCUUUGAACGCACAUUGCGCCCAUUAGUAUUCUAGUGGGCAUGCCUAUUCGAGCGUCAUUUCAACCCUUAAGCCUAGCUGCUUAGUGUUGGGAAUCUGCCCUGCUCCUGCAGCGCAGUUCCCCAAAGUGAUCGGCGGAGUUAGGGCAUACUCUAAGCGUAGUAAUAUCUCUUCUCGCUUCUGUAGUUGUCCUGGCGGCUUGCCGUUAAACCCCUAUAUUUCUAGUGGUUGACCUCGGAUUAGGUAGGAAUACCCGCUGAACUUAAGCAUAUCAAAGCAAAAGAAACCAACAGGGAUUGCCCUAGUAACGGCGAGUGAAGCGGCAACAGCUCAAAUUUGAAAUCUGGCCCUAGCGGUCCGAGUUGUAAUUUGUAGAGGAUGCUUUUGGUUAGGUGCCUUCCGAGUUCCCUGGAACGGGACGCCGGAGAGGGUGAGAGCCCCGUACGGUUGGACACCGAGCCUCUAUAUAGCUCCUUCGACGAGUCGAGUAGUUUGGGAAUGCUGCUCUAAAUGGGAGGUAAAUUUCUUCUAAAGCUAAAUACCGGCCAGAGACCGAUAGCGCACAAGUAGAGUGAUCGAAAGAUGAAAAGUACUUUGAAAAGAGGGUUAAAUAGCACGUGAAAUUGUUGAAAGGGAAGCGUUUGCGACCAGACUUUUUCCAGGCGGAUCAUCCGGUGUUCUCACCGGUGCACUUCGCCUGGUUUAGGCCAGCAUCGGUUCUCUUAGGGGGAUAAAGGCCUGGGGAACGUAGCUCCCUCGGGAGUGUUAUAGCCCCUCGCGUAAUACCCUUCGGGGGACCGAGGAACGCGCAUCUGCAAGGAUGCUGGCGUAAUGGUCGUCAACGACCCGUC
rnacentral:rRNA from 1 species